GGCGGGUGGAGAAGAGGGGGAGGGGAGAUGCACAAGGUGGGAACGAUAGCGUGAG
rnacentral:tRNA from 1 species